GUCUCCGUAGGUGAACCUGCAGGAGGGGAUCAUUACACAAUAACCAGGCGGGCUGGACACCCCCCGCUGGGCACUGCUUCACGGCGUGCGCGGCGGGGCCGGCCCUGCUGAAUUAUUCACCCGUGUCUUUUGCGUACUUCUUGUUUCCUGGGUGGGCUCGCCCGCCCUCAGGACCAACCACAAACCUUUUGCAAUAGCAAUCAGCGUCAGUAACAACGUAAUUAAUUACAACUUUCAACAACGGAUCUCUUGGUUCUGGCAUCGAUGAAGAACGCAGCGAAAUGCGAUACGUAGUGUGAAUUGCAGAAUUCAGUGAAUCAUCGAAUCUUUGAACGCACAUUGCGCCCUUUGGUAUUCCAAAGGGCAUGCCUGUUCGAGCGUCAUUUGUACCCUCAAGCUUUGCUUGGUGUUGGGCGUCUUUUGUCUCCAGUUCGCUGGAGACUCGCCUUAAAGUCAUUGGCAGCCGGCCUACUGGUUUCGGAGCGCAGCACAAGUCGCGCUCUUCGCCAGCCAAGGUCAGCGUCCAGCAAGCCUUUUUUUCAACCUUUGACCUCGGAUCAGGUAGGGAUACCCGCUGAACUUAAGCAUAUCAAUAAGCGGAGGUAAAAGAAACCAACCGGGAUUGCCCUAGUAACGGCGAGUGAAGCGGCAACAGCUCAAAUUUGAAAUCUGGCUCUUUUAGAGUCCGAGUU
rnacentral:rRNA from 1 species